ensembl:lncRNA
AUGUUUCAGACAUUUUGGGAAUGUUCUCGACCUGGACCUCCUGAAAGCAUAGGCCGCCAAUCAGAAUGCGCAGGCAGAAGACAUAUUGUGUGUUCACAGAUGGCGUUGUUCCCCCUCCUUCUGCUGUGCUUGACAACAGGCAGUGUCACGGCAAACAGCUGCACCAUGCAAGAUGGGCUUUUCUGCGUCUCUAAUUACUGGCAGAACGUAAGCUGUGUUCCGGACAAACCAGGAGAAGCCAAAAACACAGACCGCUGGUUAAAUUUCACAAGAAUAGCGCCUGACGAUAUGGCACGAUUUGAGUGCCGGUUUGAGAGGAACCCGUCCCGCUGUCAAUUCGACACAGGAAUGCUUCUCAAGUCGUACCACGAAUUCCGUGUUCAAUCCUGCAAUUCAUCUGGCUGCUAUGAAAUAUCCCACUUUAAGCCAGUCGAUUGCGUUCAAACUACGUCUCCAAGUGACGUCAGUGUCAACAGCUCUUUGGAUAGCUUCAUCAUCACCUGGAAGAGCGGAUAUAAAAACCACAACUAUGUCCCACCCGAAACAUUAACCUACAAGGUCUUGCUUCAUUGGCGCAAUGAGUCUAAACAGAUUCAGGACGGAGAACAUUCGAUAACUCUUGAUUACUCUCCGUUGGAACUGAGUAGUGAAUAUUGUGUCCAAGUAAAAUCAAAAUAUAAGAACGCAGUCCGGUGGAGUGAGUGGAGCGAGUCGGUGUGUUGGCAACGGGGAGAAGACCAAUCACAGAUGGCUGUGUAUCUAUUGACCGCCGGCGUCUUGACCGCCGUGUGUGUGAUCGCUGGCUUCCUGCUGUGGCUCUCCGUCCCAUCCACGAGGCUGAAGGUGAGAUCUCUGCUCCAAGUGCCUUCACCCGCGCCCUACUUUCAACCAUUGUUCCUCCACUAUGAAGGCAACCUCCAUGAGUGGCUGUCGUCACCGGGAGCCUACAUGGUGACCUUUGACCCGGACAGCCGGGUGAACGCCCGACACAUCACCAUGGCGCCUAGGGCCGCCCAGUAUGGGCUGGAGGAGGAGAACUCCAAGCUGAGCCCCCAGCCCCCAUCACCCCCCCAGGACCCGCUGUCCUACAUCAUGGCUCCAGGCGCCGCGGCCUUCGUCCCCCACGCCCCCCCGCACCCCACCACCAUCGCCUUGGUCGCCGACAUGUCCUACGUGGCGUUUCCGGGCGCCACCGCACCGCUCUGCCGCGCGGAAGAGGCUUCGGAGGCGGCCUCCAUGGACACGAGCCAGUCGGAGUCCGGAAGUGGGUGCGAGGGGGAGGAGGAGGGGGAGGAGGGGGAGGAGGAGGAGGAGGGGGAGGAGGAGGGGGAGGAGGAGGGGGAGGAGGAACGUCAGAACCAAGGUUCACACCCUCCCCUCCCGAGCUCUGUCCCUUGCUUCGGGGAUUACUGCACCCUCAAGCAGGCAGCUCAGUGGUGAAAUGGACCAGGGUGAAUCAGGAGAAAGUUCAAUAAAGUUCAAAACAUUGCGGUUGAUCCAUGGUGAAAUGUUCCAGGGUGAAUCAGGAGAAAGUUCAAUAAAGUUGAAAACAUUGCGGUUGAUCCAUGGUGAAAUGGACCAGGGUGAAUCAGGAGAAAGGUCAAUAGUUUUCUACGUUGUGGUUGACGACUCGUGGUGAAAUGGAUCAGGUUGAAUUAUGGCGCCCUCUAGUGACUUCAUUGUGCUUAUUCAGGCCAAUUUUAAGUCGUACAUUUUAAUCGUUUUUGUUCUACUUCUUCUUUCUAUUGUGCUUUUUGUUUAAAGAGCCAGUAAGCCCACUGAUUCAGAUAGGUGUCUGGAAAGCUUAACCGUGACUCUGACCCUCCACACACCGUGGCGUUUCACUGAAUGUGUCGAAAAGCUCUGAGGUCUCAUUUAUAAAACUGUGCGUAGGAUCGUUACUAAAAAUGUGCGUACGCCCAGAAGCCAAGUUUUGCGUGCGCCAAAAAAUAUUCAGAUUUAUAAAACACUGCGUACGCACACCUGUACGCAAUCUUUGCUUUAUAAAUCACAUACUGACUACAAUUGUGCGCAGCUGAAUCAGCUUCACGUUCCGCCCUCUACACGCCCCUUUUUAACCAUAAAUGGUCAAUGCAAAUGACCUCAUGAAUGCGAUCUGCAUAUAAAACAGACUCAGAUGCCGGUAUUAUGUCUUGUUGGAAACAAUGGCAGAAGUACUGAGAAAAUCAAAAAAGCGAAAUUUCACGGAGGUUGAAGUGGAGACACUUGUGGGUGAGAUGGAGGCCCGAAAGGUAGUUUUGUUCGGCGGUCACGGGAUUGGGAUCGCCAACAACAAAAAGCAGAGUGAGUGGCAACAUGUUGCCGCAGCAGUGAACUCUGUCAGUAGCACGGAGCGCACUGUCCCAGAAUUAAAAAAAGAAGUGGUCUGACAUAGUUACAUAUUUUUAUCUAGCCUACCAAUAAAUCGUUAUGGUCCCUAAAUACCCUCUCCCUCCGAAUCCUGCCAUUUGCAUGGUCCGCCAGAAGUGCCAUAUGGUGCAGCUUUCCCACGGCGACUUAUUUCAGUUAGUAAAUGGAAUGGAAUAUUAUGCUUACGAUCAUAUGGGAUCUUGAAUGCCACACUGUAAAGCACUGUAAGUUGCAUUUUGUUUGAAAGGUGCAAUACAAACUGUGUAUUAUAAUCGUUACUAGAGUUUUCGCGCGUGCGUUGCGUGCGCUCAACCUCUAGUUGUAGUUAAACCAGGGACGCGGGAAGGGGGGGUGCUGACUGUGCUGCAGCAACUCCCCCCUCGGCGGGGGCUGUAACUACAAGCGAAGAACGUUUUCUGAACAAAUCUAUACUUUUCUUUUGGAGUAAAACUUUAUCAUACAACAUGGUUAUCAUUAAAUUAUUGAAAUCCACCCCAUUUAUAUUUAUUAUAUUAUUAUUUCAUUUUAGAACAUUGUGUAGGCUGACGUAUGACGCACAACGAAGCACAUGCGCGAAAGAACGAUAGAGCUAUACUGUAAUCCAAUUGGAUGGUUCAGAUCAGCUAUGUGGCGGAGAAAAAAACUGCAGCAAUGCUAAACCCCCUCCGGUCGAUCCUAUGUUGGAUUAAUCCCUCACCUGCGGCACCACUAACUAACUCUGUUGGUGAAGAGCCCUGCCAGCCAAGGGAGUUUGACUUCCCAGCCAGGCGUUCUGGAAAUGAAAACGUAUUAAAUUAUUUUUACGUUAAGUUGAACUUCUCUAUUGUUACGUUAGUUAUAUAAUUCCAAGGCUUGACCCCUCAGUCAUAGGGGUCAUGUGUUUUAACCAUUCAGCAAACAAAAGGCAACGGGCUGAGUAUCAUUUAGGGGGCCACUCAUUGGCCCAAUCCCAAAGUGAGCCCUGAGGACUCACGGACUAAGUGAUCUCAGGUGCUAAGUGAGCGAGUGUGUGAGGCCACGUGGGCUGAGAUAUGGGAUUGGGACAGAACUUAACGAGAGCACAUGUGACCUUGGCAACGGUUAAAGACAAAGAUGUUGCUGACCGGUUUGGGAAUUUUAAUUUUUCGUUAUUUUUUGUACUUUUAUAAAUGCAAUGAAAACAAUCGGCUACAGCAAUUUAUUGAUAUUAGAAAAUAUAAUUUUUACUUUUUAAUACUUCAGUAUAAAUGACGUAUUGUAUAAUUUAGGUGAUUAUUGGCCUACACUCGGCCUUUUAAACAUUAAUCAGAACGGGCUACAUUUGGUUAAAUUAUAAAAGGUAUAGCCUAAUAAAGUAGUAGCCUAAUAUGAAUAGCCGUUUGGGAGCAAAAAAGUCGGCUCUUGUUGGUGAGCUGAUCCAAAUGAUCCGGCUCACUAAAAUAAGGCCGAAAUUCCCAUCUGAUCGCGCAUUGCAGUAGCGUCGUCUUGUUGAUUACCUUCCUAAUGCCGGAUUUCCCGGUCUACGCAGUAAACGUCAGAACGCUUUGAACUGUGGGUAAUUCCCUUAUAGGUGAAGUCCGCAAUGAUGCGGUCUCACGGAAAGGGCUCGAUAAAUGUGGACUCAAACCCUCACGCCCUUUGGAAUUCGACAUUGGGACAGCCCUAAAGCCUUAAUAAUUUCGCGAUAACGCGCAAUAAAGUCUGUGAGUCCGGAUAUUGGGAUUGGGCCAAUGGCAUGCAGAAGCGUCAUCAACACGCCUACUGAAGUGGUGUGAGAAAUCCAGACUUUCUACUCCUCAUUCACAUCUAAGGUAAUUUACAAUACGGAGAAAAUACUUACUCAGGGGUAGUAUUAUUCAGGAGAUUUUCAGGGUACAAAUGUCAGAAUAUGUUGUUCACACAUACGGCCCAUCAGGAGAAUUUUAGGUCUUACACGUGUGUCUGAAAGCAGCUAAUGUUUGAGCAUUUGAUUACAUUAUAAAAUUAGUACAUUUAUGGUAACAGGGGUAAAAUGUCAAUGGAAAGUGUAUAGUAUACUAUGCAUGCAAAUCAAUUAUUCAAUAGCUUUUAGUGUUAUUCAGGGCUGAAAAGUGCAUUGACAUUUUAAAAUGCAAGGCAACUGCUAUUGGUUAGUUGAAAAUAAUAAUCAUCAUUGAGAUUAAGAUUUCCAUUGUUCCAUUGUCCCUUCCAUUGUUUUGGCCAAGACGGGCAGCAGUAGCCUACAGUCACACAUAGCAUCCAGGGUUUUUCAACCUUGGGGUCCCGACCCCAUGUGGGGUCGCCUGGAAUUUAAAUGGGGUCGUCGCCUGAUAUGUCUAGUAAUUGUUUUAAAAAAAGUAGGCUAUUUAUUGAAAAAAAAAAGAAAAUUAUAUAGGCUAUAUAUAUACAAUUUUAGCUCGGCGAGUGUGUCUUUGUCUUGACGUUUGGUGUGUACGCGUGUGUGUGUGUGUGUGUGUGUGUGUGUGUGUGUGUGUGUGUGUGUGUGUGUGUGUGUGUGUGUGUGUGUGUGUGUGUGUGUGUGUGUGUGCGCUUCCAUGUAUGCGUCGCUGCCUUUUUCUUGACGUGCAGUGUGUGCGCGUGCGUGCACGUGUGUGCGUUUCCAUGUAUGUUCAUGGCAUUGUGCGUUUGUCUGCGGUGUGUGUAUGUGCGUGCUUGCGGUGUAUGCAUGCGUUCGUGUGUGCUGUGUGUGUGUCUGUGUGAGCUGGUUGGCACAUGCGCACAUGAAUAACUUGAGUUACUGGUGCGACAGGCCUGCUAUUAUAGUAGUACGAUUAUUCAUAUAUUUCCUACUAGGUCGGGUUGGAUUCCUGACGUGGGUAACUUUGAAGGGUUUGAGACUCGAGUUCUGUCUGGGUUAGAGUCCUAGAAUCCGGGUUGGAGUCCCAGAGAAAGGACCAAGUUCCUCUAGGUCAGGUUGGAGUCCCAACGUGCACUUUCUAAAAUGCUGAUC